UUUUUUUGUCCUUAAAGGGUUAAAUUUGUUUAAAAAAUCUGUGUCUUGGUCAGAUUUUGACACAGGUCAGUUUUCUGACACGUCUAGUCAAGACGACAUGUCAUCUGUGUGUGAGCCAGCUGAAGAAAGAAACUGUGCUUCCUCUGCAACUCCAAAUGUGGAGGAGGACUGGGUACCUCCACAGUUAGCCGAGCCCAACAUCCCCC